CGGCGGACGGGUGAGUAACGCGUGGGUAACCUGCCUCAUACAGGGGGGUAACAGUUAGAAAUAGACUGCUAAUACCGCAUAAGACCACGGUACCGCAUGGUACAGUGGUAAAAACUCCGGUGGUAUGAGAUGGACCCGCGUCUGAUUAGGUAGUUGGUGGGGUAACGGCCUACCAAGCCGACGAUCAGUAGCCGACCUGAGAGGGUGACCGGCCACAUUGGGACUGAGACACGGCCCAG
rnacentral:rRNA from 1 species